AUUUGAGAAAUGUCAGAAGAAUGAUAAAUGUGAUUCAAUAGGCAUAAGGACUAAAGGGAAAAUUGUUUGAAAGAAAUGAGAAGUUCUAAAACAUGCAAGUUAGGCUAAGAGGGAUCCAUUAGCAGAGUGCAGCUCUGCCAAGAUCUGAGCCAGGAGGAAGAAUCUUCAUGCAAAUAGAUCAGGGAAAGUAGCUCUCUGACAGGGAGUGAAGUCAAAGCAGUGAAGAUUGCAGGCAGGAGAGUGAAAGAAAACAAGAUUGGUGCUGGACAAGGACAAUGAAGAAACAUACGGAGCAAACCUAAACUCAACCUGGAGCCUAGAGCCAAGGCUCACCAAUGACAUCCUGAAGCAGAUCUACCCCAAAACACUUGCAGGCCUAUGAACCAAGAAAACUAACGCUUGUGGUAAGGACACACAGUGUUUCUGAGCAAAAGCAUUGCAUUAUGAAGCCUGACUUUGGGGGGUUUUUAAAGGAAUACUAACCACGUGGAAGUGUGGUAGAGAGAAAGGCCAGAAGCAGAGACACCUGUUUGGAGUCCAGGACAACAGUGAAAGCAGGUGGAAAGGAAACACCAGACAAGACCUCCACUCUUACUACAGGGACUUGGAGAAUACUAAAGACUUCCCUUCUUCAUGGAGAAAAGAAGGAUAUCUGUGGAAGUAGCACAAGAAGAAUACCUAUGCCAUACGCCCACCCCUCUAUCUGGAUCUACAUCUCCAGCCUUGGACUUCCCUCCCCUAACUAGAGGACAGAUUAAUUCUUUCCAAGUGCUUAGAAGUUUGCGUUUAGAUUUCAUCAAAAAUUUUCCACUGAUUGAUUUACAAAUCAAAUAUUUAACACAAAGAACCUCUGGUCUCAUUAGAAUAAAUAUAAAUAAAUAUAAAAUAGUUGUGUGGAGAAUUAUUUUGUUCAGACCA
rnacentral:lncRNA from 1 species